rnacentral:rRNA from 1 species
AUACGUAGGGUGCGAGCGUUGUCCGGAAUUACUGGGCGUAAAGAGCUCGUAGGUGGUUUGUCGCGUCGUCUGUGAAAUUCCGGGGCUUAACUCCGGGCGUGCAGGCGAUACGGGCAUAACUUGAGUACUGUAGGGGAGACUGGAAUUCCUGGUGUAGCGGUGAAAUGCGCAGAUAUCAGGAGGAACACCGGUGGCGAAGGCGGGUCUCGGGGCAGUAACUGACGCUGAGGAGCGAAAGCAUGGGUAGCGAACAGGAUUAGAUACCCUGGUAGUCCAUGCCGUAAACGGUGGGCGCUAGGUGUAGGGGUCUUCCACGACUUCUGUGCCGUAGCUAACGCAUUAAGCGCCCCGCCUGGGGAGUACGGCCGCAAGGUUGAAACUCAAAGGAAUUGACGGGG